GCCUACUUAACUCAAUUGGUUAGAGUGUCCGUCUCAUACGCGGAAUGUUGCUAGUUCAAGUCUAGUAGUAGGUA
rnacentral:tRNA from 3 species